rnacentral:rRNA from 1 species
GACGAACGCUGGCGGCGUGCUUAACACAUGCAAGUCGAACGGAAAGGCCCUGCUUUUGUGGGGUGCUCGAGUGGCGAACGGGUGAGUAACACGUGAGUAACCUGCCCUUGACUUUGGGAUAACUUCAGGAAACUGGGGCUAAUACCGGAUAGGAGCUCCUGCUGCAUGGUGGGGGUUGGAAAGUUUCGGCGGUUGGGGAUGGACUCGCGGCUUAUCAGCUUGUUGGUGGGGUAGUGGCUUACCAAGGCUUUGACGGGUAGCCGGCCUGGGAGGGUGACCGGCCACAUUGGGACUGAGAUACGGCCCAGACUCCUACGGGAGGCAGCAGUCGGGAAUAUUGCACAAUGGGCGGAAGCCUGAUGCAGCAACGCCGCGAGCGGGAAGACGGCCUUCGGGUUGUAAACCGCUUUAGCCUGUGACGAAGCGUGAGUGACGGUAAUGGGUAAAGAAGCACCGGCUAACUACGUG